rnacentral:misc_RNA from 1 species
ACUAAGCAUGACAAAGUUGAAAAUUUAUUGCUAGGGUAUUUGAUUUCAGUAUCUCAAUUGUGGUGUUUUGGCGUUUAUGUAGUAGACUGGUAGUACUAUCAAGAUUUAUUUGCCAUUGAAUUCAUUAACAUAAUAAUUCUAAUAUUUUCCUUCAAUUUCAUUUGUUAGAUGUUAUAUUUUUCUUAAUUCAGUAUUUUCUUUGUCAA